UACGUAGGUGGCGAGCGUUGUCCGGACUUACGGGGUGUAAAAGGCGUGUGGGCGGGACUGCAAGUCAGAUGUGAAAUACCGGGGCUCAACCCCGGGGCUGCAUUUGAAACUGUAGUUCUUGAGUGCAGGAGAGGAAAGCGGAAUUCCUAGUGUAGCGGUGAAAUGCGUAGAUAUUAGGAGGAACACCAGUGGCGAAGGCGGCUUUCUGGACUGUAACUGACGCUGAGGCGCGAAAGUGUGGGGAGCAAACAGG
rnacentral:rRNA from 1 species